rnacentral:lncRNA from 1 species
GAGCAGUCUCACUGCCAUCUCUGCUGUGCGGUGAGAGCACACGACUUCAAUUCAGAAAACAUUUCAGCGUGCUGCCACAAGCCGGGCCUGUGUCCCACCAGCUCCCUUCAAAAAGCACGGCUCAGCCCAGCUUUCCAUGCUGGGGGCUGACUUCAGGCCACAGCCACAGUGCCAUGGCCCUUGGUAGGCAUGUCACUAGGGUGGGGACUUCAGAGGACACUGGGUCACUCCUUACGGACCGGAAGCUGGAUAACACCCAGUUAGCUGGAGCAGCAGAGGAGGAAAAUGGUGACCACCUCCUUGUAGUCAAGAGGAAUUUGUUGAACACACCUUAGGAGGACCUGGGAAAUGUGAGCCACCUUUACCAUCACACAUGGCAGGGUUUGGAACCUGGAACCCCUGAUGGCUUUGUGGAUAUUAUUCAGAGAUUUGCAAACCCAGACAGAUUAAAAAAAAAAAAAGAAGCAAAACUACACACAAAAGCAAGAACAAAAGUAAAAAGACUGCGUCAUUAUUUCUUCCAACCUCUAAUUGAGAUUUAGCAUUUUCUUCCUUUGGGAACAUAAGCACUUUCAUAUUCAGCCACUGCAUCUGUAUUUCCUCUCACAGCUUCUUUUGCAGGAAUGACUUCAUUCUACCACCCUUUGCUGCCAUAUCAGGACGUCGGGAAGCAAAGAGACGUGUCGGCUUGAUCAGCACACAGGUCAUUCCUAGAGAGAUCAGCUCAGUCACCGAGCAGGCAGGAACAGGCACUCUGGAGGGGAGAGGCAGGCCCAGGAGGAUGAGUCAAGGCAGGGAUUGAAACUGCAGGAUGAGGGAGUCAGCGCCUGGGAACCCACAGGGCGGAGUUAGAUAAGAAGAAAUGCCCGCGGAAUCUGCAGUUUAAAUGGAGCCUGGGGUUUGUAAAGAGGAGUCAGGCGUUCUUUACCUUGUCAGUUCCGACUGCUUUGUGCACAGCUGACUCAGAGACCGGGUGGGGCUGCCCUCUUAGGUGAAACCAGACCGAUUAGAAAGUCGGCUGGGCCCUGCAGAUCCUGCCGGCCACACCCUCCCAGCAUUAAGGGUAUGCCUCAUCUGUGAAACCAACUCUCCCCCGUGAAGGAGAAGUGACAUGUCCAUUUUAAAGAAAAUCACUUCAUGGUUGAGGAGGCAUGAUUUUUGCAUGCAACAGAGGCAGUGUAGAAGAAGUUCUUAAUCAACCUUUGUGCCAAGAAGCUCUUUAGCAGUCUGAUGAAGCCCGUGGGCCCCUUCUAAGAAUAAUAUUUUUAAACCCAUAACAUAAAUACAUCGGGCACCAAGGAAACCAGUUAUAUUGAAA